UGAAAAGUCCUCUAGGGUUCCGCAGCUGCAUGGCUGGACUGGUCCGAGAGAGGACACACAGGAACACCUGUGUACACGGAGGGAAAAAAACCCGGGAGAU
rnacentral:sRNA from 2 species